rnacentral:piRNA from 1 species
UAAUUAUAAAGAAAUACUAGGUGGAGAAAG